GGACGAACGCUGGCGGCGUGCCUAACACAUGCAAGUCGAACGGAGCACUUCGGUGCUUAGUGGCGAACGGGUGAGUAACGCGUGAGAAACCUGCCUUUCAGAGGGGGGAUAACGUUUGGAAACGAACGCUAAUACCGCAUAACAUCAUUAGAUGGCAUCGUCUGAUGAUCAAAGGAGCAAUCCGCUGAAAGAUGGGCUCGCGUCCGAUUAGAUAGUUGGUGAGGUAACGGGCUCACCAAGUCGACGAUCAGUAGCCGGACUGAGAGGUUGAACGGCCACAUUGGGACUGAGACACGGCCCAGACUCCUACGGGAGGCAGCAGUGGGGGAUAUUGCACAAUGGGCGAAAGCCUGAUGCGGCAACGCCGCGUGAGGGAAGAAGGUCUUCGGAUUGUAAACCUUUGUUUUUGGUGACGAAUUCUGACGGUAGCCAAAGAGGAAGCCACGGCUAACUACGUG
rnacentral:rRNA from 1 species